rnacentral:rRNA from 1 species
AUGGCCACGGAGCGACCUGUGCGGCUGGUGCUGGAUGCGUCCCUCCUCCUCGAUCCCGUCGGUGCAGGGGCGCCGGUGCCCACGCUGCGUCCCGGGGCGGAGGCGCUGCUGCGGCGGCUGCGCCACUCCAAUCUGGGCGUGGCAAUUUGCCAUCCGGAGGAAAUGCCAACUACUGUGUCAGGCUUUCUUGAAAUGGCAGCAGACUUGAACUCCUUUGGGUAUAUAUCACUACCUGCUCCAACUGGGAAUCACUUACUAAAUGAGUUGAUGUUAGAGUGGAGCAGAACAAGUUCUUGUUUUUAUGCUACUUCGACAGUUGAUGAAGAUCUAUUUUCUGAACUUCAGAGCCAUAACUGGAAGGUUAUUGCUGUAGAUAAUGAAUGUGGAACGAAAGAUUCGGGAGUUGUAAAUAUUGGCAAGCUUCAAGAGCUGCUUAUCACUUUGGCUACUUUAAUUAAAAAGGAAAUAGCUAGCUCAUCUAUUUUGAUGGUUGGCUAUGCAAUGAAACCAUCCCGUGAGGAAGACUUUGCCAAGAGAGGAGCAUUUCCCCUUUAUCCAAGUCAAAAUGGACUUAUCUUUGUCCCACUCUCAUUUGAACUUCCUUUAGCCUCUCAACUUCAAGAAGUUGACAUAAUCCUCCACAAAAUGACGGAUGAGAUCAUUAGCAUUGAUCCAAAUUGCUCCAUCAGUUUUCCCAGGGGAAUUUCAUUUUCUGCAGGAAUGUCUGAAGUUAUAAGCAGGUUUAUGGAAGAAUAUCCUGAUUUCUGCAUCAUUGAUCCAUUCAAAAAUAUCUCCCCGUUGCUGGAUCGUCUGCAAAUUCAAGAAAUUCUAGUUAGAUUGCAAGAACUUGGCUCUGAAGGAAGGCCCAAACUCCGAGCACCACAUUCUUUGAAGGUCAUAAACUUCAGUGGCAGUGAAUUACAGAAGCAACUAGCAGAAGCUAAUUUAUCAUUUCCACUCAUUGUGAAGCCACAAGUAGCAUGUGGAGUUGCUGAUGCGCACAAUAUGGCAUUAGUUUUCCAAAUUGAAGAGUUUAGCAACCUUAGUGUGCCCCUUCCAGCUAUUCUACAGGAAUACAUUGAUCAUGGUUCCAAGAUAUACAAAUUUUAUGUAAUUGGAGACAAGGUUUUUCAUGCUGUAAAAACUUCAAUGCCCAAUGCAAAUUUGCUAAAAUCGUCAUCGGGGGAUGAACCUCUUACGUUUAAUAGUUUGAAGACUCUUCCAGUGGCUACCAAGGAGCAGCUGCUGCUGAACAGGGCACAGGAUAACAAAUCUCUGAACAUCGGUGUGGUGGAAGAGGCUGCAAAAUUGUUAAAGGAAUCACUUGGACUAACAAUUUUUGGAUUUGAUGUUGUUGUUCAGGAGGGUAGCGGAGACCACGUCAUAGUGGACCUAAACUAUCUUCCGUCGUUCAAAGAAGUUCCUGACUCCGAGGCGAUGCCUGCAUUCUGGGAUGCAAUCAGGCAGUCAUACGAGUCGAAGAAAGGGAAGGUGCAAACUUAG